rnacentral:rRNA from 1 species
UGAGCAAUCUGCCCUUCUCAUCGGAAUAAGCGUUGGAAACGACGUCUAAUGCCGAAUACGACCUCCUUUCGCAUGAUCGGAGGUGGAAAGCUCCGGCGGAGAAGGAUGAGCUCGCGGCCUAUCAGCUAGUUGGUGUGGGUAAUGGCCCACCAAGGCGACGAUCCGUAGCUGGUCUGAGAGGACGAACAGCCACACGUGGACUGAGACACCGGCCCAGAUCCGUAACGGGG